GAGCAAAUGAUGUGAAACAUUUAGAUCACUGAGGCCUUCCUGGUCCUUGGAUGUCUCUAAAAUCGAGCUUUUUAAAACUGAUGCUUA